rnacentral:tRNA from 1 species
GGGGAUUUAGCUCAGUGGUAGAGCGCUUGCCUAGCAAGCGCAAGGCCCUGGGUUCUGUUCCCAGCUCCA